rnacentral:tRNA from 1 species
UCUAUUAUGGCAGAUAAUAAUGCAAUGAAUUUAAAAUUCAUUUAUAAAUAAAUUUAUUUUUUUAGAA